UACGGGGGGGGGCAAGCGUUGUUCGGAAUUACUGGGCGUAAAGGGCGCGUAGGCGGCCUACUAAGUCGGACGUGAAAUCCCUCGGCUCAACCGAGGAACUGCGUCCGAUACUGGCAGGCUGGAAUCCGGGAGAGGGAUGUGGAAUUCCAGGUGUAGCGGUGAAAUGCGUAGAUAUCUGGAGGAACACCGGUGGCGAAGGCGGCAUCCUGGACCGGUAUUGACGCUGAGGAGCGAAAGCCCAGGGGAGCAAAGCGGG
rnacentral:rRNA from 1 species